UGAGCCUGCGUAGUAUUA
rnacentral:siRNA from 1 species